rnacentral:rRNA from 1 species
GACGAAGGUGGCAAGCGUUGUUCGGUAUCACUGGGCUUAAAGCGUGUGUAGGCGGAAGAGUAAGCGUCUUGUGAAAUCCCCCGGCUUAACCGGGGAAUGGCGUGACGAACUGCUCUUCUUGAGGCAAGUAGGGGUGCAUGGAACUCUUGGUGGAGCGGUGGAAUGCGUAGAUAUCAAGAGGAACGCCAGUGGUGAAAACGGUGCACUGGGCUUGUCCUGACGCUGAGACACGAAAGCGUGGGGAGCGAACGGG